ensembl:lncRNA
GCACAACACAGCAACAUUUAAAAAGCAAGCAUAAGUUACAGUAACAACAUAAUGUAAUGAAGCCACAAUGCAACAAGAUCAAGACACAACACAAUGGAAUCAAACCACUACACAAUGGAAGCAAUCUACGACACAACAAAAUCAAGCCACAACACAACCAGAUCAAGCCACAAGACAACGGAAUCAAACCACGACACAAUGGAAUCAAACCACUACACAACGGAAGCAAGCCACCAUACGAUGGAAUCAAGAUACAACACAACAAGAUCAAACCACAACACAACGGAAUCAAGCCACAACACAAUGGAAGCUGGCCUCAACACAAUAAAAUUAAGCUACUACACAACGGAAUCAAGCCACAACACAGCAAAAUCAAGUCACAACACAGCAAAAUCAAGCCACAGCACAACGGAAUCAAGCUACAACACACCAAUAUUUAGUCACAACAAAAAGGAAUCAAGCCACAACAUACCAAGAUCAAGCCACAACACAACAGGAUCAAGCCACAACACACCAAGAUCCAGUAACAACACAAAGGAAUCAAGCCACAACACACCAAAAUCAAGCCACAACAAAAAGGAAUCAAGCCACAACACAACAGGAUCGAGUCACAACACAACAGGAUCAAGUCACAACACAACAAAAUCAAGUCACAACACAAAGGAAUCAAGCCACAACACAACAGGAUCAAGUCACAGCACAAAGGAAUCAAGCCACAACACACCAAAAUCAAGCCACAACACAACAAAAGAAAGCCACAACUCAAUGGAAUCAAGCCACAACACACCAAGAUCAAGCCACAACAAAAAGGAAUCAAGUCACAACACAACAGGAUCAAGUCACAACACAACCGAAUCGAGCCAAAACACAACAAAAUCAAGCCACAACACAACAGGAUCAAGUCACAACACAACAGAAUCAAGCCACAACACAACAAAAGGACUCUGUUCAGGAUACAUGUCAUUUAAAUAUUCUGCUUUCUAUCUUUUUUCAAGCAGUGAAGGCAAAUUUAAAUCUUCGCCACUCUUCACCUCAAUGAUAUUGUUCCUCUGCUUCCGGAGAGCUGUCUUCAUCCUGCCUAAAGACUUCAUCUUCCC